GACGAACGCUGGCGGCGUGCUUAACACAUGCAAGUCGAACGAUGAAGCCGGAGCUUGCUCCGGUGGAUUAGUGGCGAACGGGUGAGUAACACGUGAGCAAUCUGCCCUUGACUCUGGGAUAACUGCGGGGAACUGUAGCUAAUACCGGAUACGACACCUUGGGGCAUCCCAGGGUGUGGAAAGAAUUUCGGUCAAGGAUGAGCUCGCGGCCUAUCAGCUAGUUGGUGAGGUAAUGGCUCACCAAGGCGACGACGGGUAGCCGGCCUGAGAGGGUGACCGGCCACACUGGAACGAAGACACGGUCCAGACUCCUACGGGAGGCAGCAGUGGGGAAUAUUGCACAAUGGGCGAAAGCCUGAUGCAGCAACGCCGCGUGAGGGAUGAAGGCCUUCGGGUUGUAAACCUCUUUUAGCAGGGAAGAAGCGAAAGUGACGGUACCUGCAGAAAAAGCACCGGCUAACUACGUGCCAGCCGCCGCAGUAA
rnacentral:rRNA from 1 species